rnacentral:rRNA from 1 species
UACGUAGGGGGCAAGCGUUGUCCGGAAUCAUUGGGCGUAAAGCGCGCGUAGGCGGCCCGGUAAGUCCGUUGUGAAAGUCAAAGGCUCAACCUUUGAACGCCGAUGGAUACUGCCGGGCUAGAGUCCGGAAGAGGCGAGUGGAACUGCGAGUGUAGAGGUGAAUCGUAGAUAUUCGCAAGAACACCAGUGGCGAAGCGGCUCACUGGCCCGGUACUGACGCUG